UACGUAGGUGGCAAGCGUUGUCCGGAUUUAUUGGGCGUAAAGCGCGCGCAGGCGGUGAGGUAAGUCCGUCGUGAAAUCUCCCGGCUCAACUGGGAGGGUGCGGGGGAGACUGCCUGACUGGAGGCACUCAGAGGCCGGUGGAAUUCCCGGUGGAGUGGUGAAAUGCGUAGAGAUCGGGAGGAACACCAGUGGCGAAGGCGGCUUACUGGUCCGGUACUGACGCUGAGGUGCGAAAGCGUGGGGAGCAAACAGG
rnacentral:rRNA from 1 species